rnacentral:rRNA from 1 species
UACGUAGGGUGCAAGCGUUGUUCGGAUUUACUGGGCGUAAAGCGCACGUAGGCGGAUCGUUAAGUCAGGGGUGAAAUCCUGGAGCUCAACUCCAGAACUGCCUUUGAUACUGGCGAUCUAGAGUCCGGAAGAGGUGAGUGGAACUCCUAGUGUAGAGGUGGAAUUCGUAGAUAUUAGGAAGAACACCAGUGGCGAAGGCGGCUCACUGGUCCGGUACUGACGCUGAGGUGCGAAAGCGUGGGGAGCAAACAGG